UGGGGUUGAGCGUCAGUGGUAGAGCACUUGUCUCGCAUGCAUGAAGCCCUGGGUUUGAUCCUCAGCACCACAU
rnacentral:tRNA from 1 species